rnacentral:rRNA from 1 species
AGGACGACGCUGGCGGCGUGCUUAACACAUGCAAGUCGAGCGAUGAAGCUUCUUCGGAAGUGGAUUAGCGGCGGACGGGUGAGUAACACGUGGGUAACCUGCCUCAUAGAGGGAAUAGCCUUUCGAAAGGAAGAUUAAUACCGCAUAAGAUUGUAAUAUCGCAUGAUAUAGCAAUUAAAGGAGCAAUCCGCUAUGAGAUGGACCCGCGUCGCAUUAGCUAGUUGGUGAGGUAACGGCUCACCAAGGCGACGAUGCGUAGCCGACCUGAGAGGGUGAUCGGCCACAUUGGGACUGAGACACGGCCCAAACUCCUACGGGAGGCAGCAGUGGGGAAUAUUGCACAAUGGGCGAAAGCCUGAUGCAGCGACGCCGCGUGAGCGAAGAAGUAUUUCGGUAUGUAAAGCUCUAUCAGCAGGGAAGAUAAUGACAGUACCUGACUAAGAAGCCCCGGCUAACUACGUG